rnacentral:rRNA from 1 species
CGUAGGUGGUUAUGUAAGUGAAUGGUGAAAUCCCCGGGCUUAACCUGGGAAUUGCCAUUUAAACUGCAUAGCUUGAGUGCAAUAGAGGGUAGUGGAAUUUCCGGUGUAGCGGUGAAAUGCGUAGAUAUCGGAAGGAACACCAGUGGCGAAGGCGGCUACCUGGAUUGACACUGACACUGAGGCGCGAGAGCGUGGGGAGCAAACAGGAUUAGAUACCCUGGUAGUCCACGCUGUAAACGAUGAAAACUAGAUGUUGUUGGGCUUAGACCCAUCAGUAUCGAAGCUAACGCGAUAAGUUUUCCGCCUGGGGAGUACGGUCGCAAGAUUAAAACUCAAAGGAAUUGA